rnacentral:lncRNA from 1 species
UGUAGCCGAUGUAGAGGACGUAGUUGAGCCCAUGGAGGCGAUCGCGGCGGCGACGAUGAGUAGCUAGGUGAUCGCGGCGGCGAGGAUGAGUGGCUAGGUGAUCGGGACGGUGAUGUUGAGUGGCUAGGUGAUCGGGGCGGCGAUGUUGAGCCCAACUCUGCUUCUGUGGUAAGCAGAUGUGUCCAAUGUGAUCGGUCUCUCUGCACAGGUUAAUUAACCUUCAUGAAAAAAUUUAAUAAACAAAAGUAAUCAAGAGAAAGAUAGAACUAGUAGCAAUUGCGAAUUGGGUGGGCUGCUCGAAAGAGUUGCAGAAUCUUGAAUCUGCAACGGAGAUGCACAAGAUCUGACUAUUGGGUUGGCUGCUGAACGAAUUUUAGAUGGAAUACUUUUCAGGCUUUUUCCAUCUUUAUGAUUUUCCUGAGUAUCCAUGUCAUCAUUCUGCUGGGACAAUAAAAUAAGGCCGAGACAAAUCAUUAAUCAGCAUGAACAUAUAUAUGAGAAAUAAUUAAUUAAACAUUUAUUACUGAAACAUGAUUAGACAAAUAUAUAAUAUUAUGAUAUAUAUAUAUAUAUAUAUAUAUAUACCUGAACGCCAUUCGAAAGUUGUAUAGUGUUGCUUUCAGUCAUUUUACGAACUUCAUCAAAAGAAGAAGAAUUCACAGGAUGAAAAUAUAUAUAGAUGCUUUAGGAGGUUUCAUGGCAGCUAUUUUCGUCUGCCAACACUUUUUUUUUUUAUCAUCCAACAAUUUCGUAGCAGCAGCUUCAUUGACUUCUUAGUUGAAACCGCGUGUGUUUUUCUUUCAAGUGAGUGUUUACGACAACCACUUAGGUGGUUCGGCCGUCCAGCCACAGGCCGGUUAAUUGGUGUUCUUCGUAACAGAGGAGUGGGUUCUAAAAUGAGACCAAAGUCGGUCCAUUUUCAUAUCCAUUAAAUUUAAUUUUUAAAAAUAUAGUGAGACUCACUAUGGUCCCAUUUUAAGACUCACAAAUUUAAUAUUAAAAAAUUUGUGAGUUACAUAUACGACUUACGGCUCUGCUGAUAGAAUUAUUGUGCAUGGUAUAUUUAAUUGUGAGAUUGAGAAUCCAGAAUUCGUAUCAUUGCUAUAAAAUUUGUGUAAUACUUUUAAAUAGAUCCUUUAUUAUUAUUAUCGUUGUUGUUGUUGUUAUUAUUAUUGUCAUCAUUAUUCUUUUUUUCACUACUAUUAAUAUUUUUAUUAAAAUUAUUGUUAUUAUAAAUAAUAAUAAUGCUAAGGAUAAUAAUUAACUAAGAGAAUUUUAGUAACUUACAAGUUACAAUAGCCCAUUUCGAUUUAAAGAUAAAAUAAAUAUAUCAAGGAGAAUGCAACUUAUUUCAAUUCUAAUUUUUAAAGUUGAAGUAAAUAACUUAUUUUAAUUUUUAUUGCUCAUAUCAAUACCAACACAUUUUAAUGACAAUAAUAGACAGUGGCAGUCAAAAAAGAAAAGCAAUAAUGUAAAAAUUUGAUGCAAUCAAUAAAUGAAUUCAAUGUCAGUGCCCCUUUUGCGUUUGUACUAAGAUGUGAGCAACAUUUAGCCAUUUACUACUACUACCUCCAACUCUAAAUUCAUAAGUUUUGAAAACUAAGAGCAAAAGAUGAGUACGGAUUCUAUCUAAUUAGAUGCACUAUUGAGAUAUUUUGAUCCACAAAAAAUUUAAAUUGUGAAAGAACAAAGUUUUAAAAUUCAACCAAUCAUCAUAAUCAGCUAUUUGGCCAAGUUUAAUAGGUCCAAUUGAAUCUGUCUGCACAGGUUAAUUAACCUUCAUGAAAAAAUUUAAUAAACAAAAGUAAUCAAGAGAAAGAUAGAAAUAGUACCAAUUGCGAAUUGGGUGGGCUGCUCGAAAGAGUUACAGAAUCUUGAAUCUGCAACGGAGAUGUACAAGAUCUGACUAUUGGGUUGGCUGCUGAACGAAUUUUAGAUGGAAUACUUUUCAGGCUUUUCCUAUCAUUAUGAUUUUCCUGAGUAUCCAUGUCAUCAUUCUGCUGGGACAAUAAAAUAAGGCCAA